AAUAUAUUUUUUUUACUUGUCAGUUUAUAAAAAAAAAUAAUGUGCUAUUAUUUAUUAUAUAUUAUAUUUAUAGUCAUAUUAUAUUCCGUUUCUAUCUUAGAAAUGAUAUAGUUGGCUUUUUCUGAUUAUAGCUAAAGUCAAUCGAUAGAUACCCACAACGCUAUACGUUCCAGUUUUGAUCUUAAAGAAUUCUUUAUAGAAUUACAUAAUAUGAAAUGUCUUGGUUUUAUGGUUUUGAAGCAUAGGGAAACAUGGGUAUCCGGAUAUUUCACCGCAAUUAUUUCACCGCGCGACAAUUCACCGCCAACAUUUCACCGCAUUUAUAACUCACCGCGUGCACAAUUCACCGCGCAUACAAUUCAUCGCAGUUGUUUUUUUGAUAAUGUAAAAUGUAAUAAACCAAUUUAUCAGUCGAUGUCUAUAUAUUAAAUUACGACAUGGCAUUUUUGAUAUGAUGAGCCAUUAAGUUUAUCUUACUGAUACAAAUUGAUUUCCUUAUCCAAAAUUCUAAAUUUAAAAAUAACCAGAUACAUUUAACUAUACGAUUAUACACGUUACUGAUUAUUGAAUUAUUGUGUCGGCAUCGUCCAGUACGUAUAUCGACGUUUACGAGAGUGUUUCAUUUUAUAAUCAUGAAUAAUAUAUCGUAUAUUAAAAGUGAACGGGGUAAAGAUAAAUUAAUAUUAAAAGGGUACAUUUAUAUACUUGAAAAACAAGGUUUAAGUAAAUUAAUAUGGAAGUGUGAAAAUUAUCAGAAGAUAAAAUGUAAAGGACGUUUACAUGUUUGUAAUGACGAAAUUAUAAAAUAAUUUAAACAUAAUCAUGUGCCGGACUGUGCAAAAGUUGAAGUAUGCAAAGCAAUCAACGAAUUAAAAGAAAAAGCUAUCGAACGACUCGAUUUAAGAACACGUGCAGUCUUAGGUUCAAUUUCGACAUCUUUAACUACUUCAGCAACAGCGCAUUUACCUAAAUUAAGUUCUCUUAAACGAACGAUUCGGCGGAUAAGAAAUGAGGAAGAUACUUCACCACCAAACCCAAAAUCACUAAGUGAUUUAAUGAUUCCCCAAAAAUACCAAUUGACGAACGAUGAACAACCAUUUUUACUGUACGAUAGUGGUCCAGGAGAAGACCGAAUACUUUUAUUUUCGACCGAAAGAAAUUUACGUCUUAUGGAAAACUGUAAACAUUGGUAUGCAGACGGAACAUUUUCGACAUCGCCUUCAUUGUUUACUCAAAUAUAUACGGUA